rnacentral:sRNA from 1 species
GACCGGCUGCCAUCUUAGUCUAGGGACUGAGGAGUCGCCGCCGCCCCGAGUCCCGGUACCAUGCAUUUCACAGUGGCCUUGUGGAGACAACGCCUUAACCCAAGGAAGUGACUCAAACUGUGAGAACUUCAGGUAUGGUGUCAUCCUGUGAGAGAAAUUGGGGGCAAGAGUGAUGCAGUGGCCAAGCUCUGGUCUUAUACCUGCU